AGUCGAGCGGAAGGCCCUUCGGGGUACUCGAGCGGCGAACGGGUGAGUAACACGUGAGUAACCUGCCCCAGGCUUUGGGAUAACCCCGGGAAACCGGGGCUAAUACCGGAUAUGACCGGCUGCCGCAUGGUGGUUGGUGGAAAGUUUUUCGGCUUGGGAUGGACUCGCGGCCUAUCAGCUUGUUGGUGGGGUAAUGGCCUACCAAGGCGGCGACGGGUAGCCGGCCUGAGAGGGCGACCGGCCACACUGGGACUGAGACACGGCCCAGACUCCUACGGGAGGCAGCAGUGGGGAAUCUUGCACAAUGGGCGGAAGCCUGAUGCAGCGACGCCGCGUGAGGGAUGACGGCCUUCGGGUUGUAAACCUCUUUCAGCAGGGACGAAGCGUUUUGUGACGGUACCUGCAGAAGAAGCGCCGGCCAACUACGUGCCAGCAGCCGCGGUAAGACGUAGGGCGCAAGCGUUGUCCGGAUUUAUUGGGCGUAAAGAGCUCGUAGGCGGCUUGUCGCGUCGACUGUGAAAACCCGUGGCUCAACUGCGGGCUUGCAGUCGAUACGGGCAGGCUAGAGUUCGGUAGGGGAGACUGGAAUUCCUGGUG
rnacentral:rRNA from 1 species